GUGAGUAGUUCAGAGUUUGAUCCUGGCUCAGGACGAACGCUGGCGGCGUGCCUAACACAUGCAAGUCGAGCGGAGACAGUUUUGGAGCUUGCUUCGAACUGUUUUAGCGGCGGACGGGUGAGUAACGCGUGAGCAACCUUUCUCUUACUGGGGAAUAACACCGGGAAACUGGUACUAAUACCGCAUGAGACCACAAUGUCGCAUGGCAUAGGGGUCAAAGAUUUAUCGGUAAGAGGUGGGCUCGCGUCUGAUUAGAUAGUUGGUGGGGUAACGGCCUACCAAGUCGACGAUCAGUAGCCGACCUGAGAGGGUGAUCGGCCACAUUGGGACUGAGACACGGCCCAA
rnacentral:rRNA from 1 species